UUUUAUAUUUUCUCGAUCCGCUUGGCUGGGAAAUCAAUUGACAAUGAACUUUCUGACCGAGCGACAGUUUCAAAAUAUUUUCGAUGCCAAACAAAAUUUAUAAAUAGAAAUUUUUCAUCUUUUCCCUUCGCUUGCCGUUUCACGCUGGAAUGAGUUUUGUCGAACAACAACAGCAGCAAGGACAGAGGACGAUGGCGAGGUCGAGUGGGGAAAGCUGACAAAUUGCAAGGCCCUCCCCCACAAGGAAGCCGAAGAAGGGGUCACCACCCUGCCGGACACACCUAAAUCGGAUGGGCAGGCCAGGGUCCGGGCUCGGGUCCGGCCGAAUGUCAAGAGCAGGACAUUAAAUUGUCGCAACGUGAAAGGCACACUAAGCGAAAUGGAGUGAAGGCUUAAAUCAACAAGUUUAAACUUCCAAGCACGAUUUUUGACCUUUUUUCUGAAUGCAGAAUCUAGAACCAGAAGGAUGUCCCCCCAAACCUGACGUUUGCUGCCUUUGGCCAGCCUGUGACUGUGUGUGUCCUGGGGGGCCA